CACACUCAGAAUAUGAUGAAAUAUAACCAGGGGUGAGAUAAUUGAUGUGCCAUAACUAGAAAUCAUGUUUUGUCUUACGCGUGCAGCCAUGGAAGGUAUAAAUAUUCUACUCUUCUUCUUGUUCCUACAGAAAGGCUCUGUGGUUGCCAUAUGGUGGGUAGUAAAAGGUUCUGGACUAUGGAACACCAACAGAAAUGAAUUCUUUUACCUAAUCCAGACGUAUGGGUUCCAUUCUGCUGUAUCUGCCUUAUGGCCUACAACUGCUUUGUCACAUUCCCCAUAGCACACACAGCCCCAGCCCCAUUUAAAUGCCACUGGGAUACAGCUCUGUGAACAGGAAGAUUCUACAGGACUCAGCCUAUCAGAGAGUACCUCAGCGUUCUCCUUUAUGACAACAAAAGUGAAGAGACUUAGUCACCUCCCACGUAGCCACUCUGCUCAGCUGCCUUUGAGCUAAGAUGCCUCUGUCUACUCUUCCAUCAGCGAUUUUCUCUCAGAUGACAGCUACUAGUAAUGUGCCUCCUCCUCCGCUUCGUAGCAUACCAAGUUUGAAAAUGUCUAAACAGAUUAAUUAUGGUCAGUUGGAUGCAUUAUGCCACAUUAGAAGUAUACAUCAUAGCUGGAGUUCUUGUACUGCUGUAUCAGCUCACAGUGCAUUUAUAAAACAGUAUCCUAAAAUAUUCCUGCACAAAAAAACCAGAUUACCUAAAAUUUUCAAACAGGAGCCAAAAAGAAAACCUAGUGAAGCUAAAGAAGGAAGUCAAAACCAACCUGAAGAUUCUCACAACAUAGCUGUUCACAUUAAAAAAGCACACGGUGGCUAUGCUUCAUAUGGACAAAAAGGAUCCCCAGAAACCUUUGAAGAAUUUCUACAUAUCUUAAAGAAACUCUCUAAACGUUUUGCCAUCAUUGCUCUUGUGGUUCAUUCAGGAAAACCCCAGAACUUUGUUCCAGGAUGAAUACAGUUUUAAUGAAUUCGCCCUUCAUGGUAUGUCCUGAAUAUAUUGCUGAACUUAUGUCUCAUCAUUGUCGGUUGUAAGCAAAAUAUGUUAUAUACACUGAUGUUCUUAAAUCAAAUCAUGCUUGAUGUUGCAUUGGCUUUUGACUACUGAAGGCUUUUGCUAAAUUUUCAUCAUCACAGAGCU
ensembl:lincRNA